GAAAAGUGCCAUACAAUGCAAUCUCCGGCACUUCAAUGGCUUGUCCUCAUGCUGCUGCCGCAGCUGCGUAUGUCAAAUCAUUUCACCCCAAUUGGUCUCCUGCCAUGAUUAAGUCUGCAUUAAUGACUACAGGUAUAUAAUUAACGACUCAGUCUACUGCUUCCGUUGCUGUAGGAAAUUUAUCAUAUUAUGUUUUCAUAGUUAGAAUACUUGAUUUUGUAUUAUAAUUAUGAGUUUAUUACCCUCUCUGUUGCAAUCAACAGCUACUCCAAUGAGUUCUGCUCUUAAUCCUGAAGCUGAAUUCGCGUAUGGCGCGGGGCAAAUUAAUCCUGUUAAGGCAGUAAAUCCUGGUUUAGUAUAUGAUAUUACUGAAGCAGAUUAUAUCCAGUUCCUAUGUGGGGACGGGUAUACAGAUAAAAUGCUCCAACCACUUACACAUGAAAAUGUUAGUUGCCAUGGAAAAGCUCAAAAGAGAGCUGCAUAUAACUUGAACCUCCCAUCAUUUGCCAUUUAUCAUGGUAAUGUUGGAGUUUUCCCUCGUGUUUUCCGCAGAACAGUUACAAAUGUUGGAUCAGCAAAAUCUACUUAUAAAGCCACUGUAAUAACUCCAUCCUUGUUGGAUAUUCAAGUGAAACCUGAUGUUCUGUCCUUCACAUCGAUAGGCCAGGAAAAAUCAUUCUCAGUUGUAAUUGAAGGGGCUCUCACUGUGAAAUUAAUAUCUGCUACUUUGAUUUGGGAUGAUGGGAAUUUUCAAGUUAGAAGCCCAAUUGUAGUGUAUGGAGACCUACCAGAACCACCAGAUAUGUGAAACUAGAAAAAAAAAGUAAAAUAAGGGAAGCAUACUGCAGUUGGUUGCAUAAUCAUUUUAUAGCUUCGAGUUUAUGAAGUUUGUAAUAGCAUCUUUGGUUAUGCGAUUGAAAAGCGCACAAUCACUUCGGGGAAAAAGCUACAAAUGUAGUUUAUGUAAUUACCGUGUUUUGGAUUGUAUGUCAUCACUAAUCCUAUCAUGUUGUGUAUGUAAGCUCGAGUGGUCUUCCAUAAAAUAAAAUAGUUUGUGAAAGAAAUUCUCACUGCUCUGUUGGUAUUUAUGUAAUGUGUUAGUGACUAGUGGGAUGUUUAUAUCAGUGUUAUCAAAGUGAGCCCCAGAAACUGGCGAGUAAAUUAUCCUGAGCACAAUGUUUAAACAAAAUAAGGUUUAUUGUUUAGGCCACAACAUGUAAUUAAUUUCAACAGGAUGACUAUAUUUUGGUGGGAUAAAUCAGCAAGUUGCUCAAUUCAGACUUCAAAAUUAAUAUAUUAUAAAGGAUUUGAUUUAUAUUCACUAACGGUGUAAAGAGUUUUACGAAGACAUCCAAUCACAUCAAUAUGCAUUGAGCCUUCGUGGUUCCAAUUAUGAAAUGACAACUUCCAGUAGGACCAACAUAAACCAGCAAAACUCCUUAUUCAAUGUAUCACGGUACUCGUACAUUAAACACAAAAAUGGGGCUCCUAACUGGAAAUUUACCAUCAUCCCAAACCAAACCAAAGAAGCUGAAGCAACAGAUUCUAUUAUUGCUCCAUAUCAAUAGUGAGCACAAAUGUUUUCUUUUGGCCAAGAGAAUUGAAUGAAAAAACAUUUGGCUUCACUUUGAUUUUAAGCCCUUUACGAGUAGUCACAAUAGCUUUAUAUGCCGACAUUGGGAUCCAACAUUUGUGACAAUCCUCUUGAAACCGCCAAAUACAUUGGGGUCUGAGGGUGAGGCUUGAAGAGUAAAUGAAGGAUAGUUUAGAUCCAUUGCCAUUAUUCCCUGUGAUGAGUUGUAGAAGCUUUGAACUAUAGCCCUGUCCAUAUGAAAAUCCUAUGUGGUCCCUUUCACUAGCAUCAUACACUAAAGCCGGUUUCAGAACCUUGGAAGGAUCAAUUAGGCCUGCUCCAUAUUCGUCCUUGAAGAAUUCGCGUUUCUGGCAAUCUUCACAGGUUAGUGAUCCUAAAAAAUUUAAAAUCUUUCCGGUAUGCAGCCUCAACCUUUUUGGACCUACUCUCACCUGUCAUAAUUGAGCCUGGAAUGCAGUAAGAUAUGACGAAUUAGUAAACAAAAAAAAUUGGGUAAUCCAAAGAAAAGAUUUCAAAUUUUUAAGUAUAGUUAAGUUGAGAAUGCCGAAAACAAGUUUCUGCUUUUUUUCCUCUGAGUUCACAUCAAUCUUCUCCCUCAUGAAAGACACACAUAACAAUCAUAAUCAAGAAGUAAUGAACAAGUUGAGAUAUUUCAAUGGAUUAUCACAGAUUAUUCCUACAUAUGAACAGCUGCGAAUAUAGAACUGAAAUGUCCAAUAGUAAAACAUGGUAUACCUGCAAGUUUCUAACGCUUUGUCCCUCCAAGGAAUCACACAUCCACAAGCUUCCAUGUAUUCAAGAAUGUGCUGAUGUAGUAAUGAUUACUAGGAUGUGCUUAGCUUCACUCUAGAAAAAUUUUGACAAGCCAAAAAAAGAGCUGAUGCAGAUUUUGCAUAUGGAGCAUGCCAAAUUAAUGCUUCCAAUGCCGUGAACCUGGUUUAGUGUAUGAUGCUACUGAAAUGAAAUUGACUACAUAAGAUUUUUAUGCGGUUAGGGCUAUAAUUCAAUGCUUCUACAACUCAUAACAGGGGAUAAUAGCAAGGGAUCUAAACUACCCUUCAUUUGCUCUCCAAGCCUCACACUCAGAUUCCAAUGUAUUUGAUAGUUUCAAGAGGACUGUCACAAAUGUUUGAUCCCCGAUGUCCACAUAUAAAGCUAUUGUGAGUUGUGACUGCUCCUCA
rnacentral:lncRNA from 1 species